UACGUAGGGUGCAAGCGUUGUCCGGAAUUAUUGGGCGUAAAGAGCUCGUAGGCGGUUUGUCGCGUCUGCUGUGAAAACCUAAGGCUCAACCUUGGGCUUGCAGUGGGUACGGGCAGACUAGAGUGCGGUAGGGGUGACUGGAAUUCCUGGUGUAGCGGUGAAAUGCGCAGAUAUCAGGAGGAACACCGAUGGCGAAGGCAGGUCUCUGGGCAUUAACUGACGCUGGAGGAGCGAAAGCGUGGGGAGCAAACAGG
rnacentral:rRNA from 1 species